rnacentral:lncRNA from 1 species
AAAAAUCAAUCAUGCAUCAUUAAAAGCAUAAGCUAGUCUCAAGCUGUGGUUACUAUUUGGGAGGUGAUGUUGCAUCAAAGUUUCUGUCGAGCGAAGAUGGGAAUGAUAAUCCAAGUUUCCGGUAUUCAAACCGAGGCGGUGUCCAGACCGAAGUGGCGUUCAGGCCCAAUUUCCGAUUUUCAGAUCGAAGAAGCUUCCGACAUGUAGAUCGAUGCAGCUUGU